UACAGAGGUCUCAAGCGUUGUUCGGAUUCAUUGGGCGUAAAGGGUGCGUAGGCGGCGCGGUAAGUCGGGUGUGAAAUCUUGGAGCUUAACUCCGAAACUGCAUUCGAUACUGCCGUGCUUGAGGACUGGAGAGGAGACUGGAAUUUACGGUGUAGCGGUGAAAUGCGUAGAUAUCGUGAAGGAAGACCAGUGGCGAAGGCGGGUCUCUGGA
rnacentral:rRNA from 1 species